UCCUCAUCAGGCUUUUAGAUUGUGAUUAAUCACUGUCAGAACAUCCCACUGCUCUCUCCAGAAUAGCCAUCUGUUUACCUAAAGCUGUGAAUUGAGGCCCACCAAAGCCCUGGAACUAGUUCCUGCCUUGCCAAGAAAAAUGUAAAAAGUCCCUGACUGAAGCCGACUUCGUCUCUGAAUCGGGUUAAUAAUAUCCCGGCGCUCCGAUGGCUGCUGCCUGCUUCCAGGACUAACAGUAAGAUGGCAUCCGCAGCAGGCUCUCCGCGCACGUAGCGCUUCCUCCUCGGUGGUCCCAGGUCCCGGUGUCCCCAUCGCACCCAGGCCUUGGAGCGAGUCUUGGCCGCACAGUCGACUGAUCUCCGCGUCCGCCCUGGGUUGGGCAGGAUGGCAUCCUUUGGACCUCUCCUUGGCUGGUGGCUUCGGUCAUGAUCCCGUCUUCCACUCUCAGCGCCCUCGCCUCCUCUCUGAUCGGAUCCAGAUGGGGGCUUGCCUCCUCCAAGAAGCCUUCCUUAGCUGCUCCAUGGACUGUGCGCCCCGUCUGAACUCCCCGGCUACCGUUUUAACAUAGCCUAUUAAUUUUGCUCUUAGGAUGUACCGCAAUGAAUUAUUUAUCAUCUUCCCCAAUGUCUUGUCUCUUCAACUAGCCAGCGAGCUCCAUGAGGUUGGGAAUGCCGUCUUAUUUAGCUCCGACUCCCUCCCAGAACAGAGCACACAGUCCUUCCUCACAC
rnacentral:lncRNA from 1 species